AUAAAGUUUUAUUUUGGCUUAAAAGUUUAUUAUUAAUUUAAUUUAUAUGUAAAUUUUUGUGUUUAAAAUUUAUUAUUUUAAUAAUUAUAAAUUUUAUAAUAGCAAUAAUUGAUAUUAUUUUAUUAUUAAAGAAAUUUAGAAAUAGUAAUAUUUAAAAGUAUUGACAAAAUUUGUGCCAGCAGUCGCGGUUAUACAAAUAAUACAAAUAAAUUUUAUUAGUUUAAAGUUAGAUUAAAUAAUAUAAUUUAUAAAAAUAAAUUUAUUAGGUGAAAUUUUAAAUUUAUUAAUUUUUAAAAUUUAUUAAUUGAUUCUUGAAAAUUUUAAAUAAAAACUAGGAUUAGAUACCCUAUUAUUUAAAGUGUAAAUAUUAAAAAUUAAGGUAUUAGUAGUUAUGUUCUUGAAACUUAAAAAAUUUGGCGGUGUUUUAAUCUAUUCAGAGGAACUUGUUUUUUAAUCGAUAAUCCACGGUGGACCUUACUUAAAUUUGUUUUCAGUUUAUAUAUCGUCGUUAUUAGAAUAUUUUAUAAGAAAGUUAAUUUUCAUAAUUUUUAAUAAUAAAAUAUAUCAGAUCAAGGUGUAGCUUAUAUUUAAGAGAAAAUGAGUUACAAUAAAAUUAUUUAAACGAAUAUAAAUAUGAAAUAUUUAUUGAAGGUGGAUUUGAUAGUAAAAUUAUAAAGAUAAAUAAUUUGAUUUUAGUUCUAAAAUAUGCACAUAUCGCCCGUCACUCUUAUUAUUAAGAUAAGAUAAGUCGUAACAUAGUAGAUGUACUGGAAAGUGUAUCUAGAAUGCA
rnacentral:ncRNA from 1 species